CGACGACCAGUGCGACGACUGCGAGUUGGCUGCCAAUUUGGCCGGACGAGAAGAAACGGGAAGCAAAAUUUCAGGAACUGGAUUACAAUCCGCCGACAUUCGCUUUCGCCUGUGGAAGUGGAGAAAAUGGAUCACGACGGCUGACCAGAAUAUCUAUCUAGGAAGUAGGAGCAAGAUACGCGGAAUGACGAUGACGUCCGAGGUUUCCCAGACGGCAGGCAGCCCCAUGAGAGAGGAAUAUUAUAACAAGAAGCAUGAAAGCAAUGCAUGGAGCUUCCAAGUUGAAAGUAGCAACUCUCCAGACCCGAUGAUUGUCACGUUAUAGCGACAUAUGUCUUCGUCGUCGUAGCGACAACUGCUAUCAGCAUCUGGUGGAGUAAGCAUCUCAUCGUCUGGCAUACAAUUAGGAUUUCGAAUGGACACACAGAGGAAAGGAAAAGACUCCGCCCUCGUACCGCGUAAUUAUUCUACAUGUUAUUCUGAGCCUCGCAUGCGAACUUAGGCGUUGCCGUCCGCCCAAGAGCUGCCUAAAGGGUGACCACCAGCGUGUGCUGCAGCCGGUGCUUCAAAAGCAACUGUGUAAAGAACGGCGAACAGGCGGGCAACGGGCCCAGGAAAAAUGCACGCCUGUUCCUGGAGCUACUUCAGGAAGUGCUUCCUCGGUUUCCGCAUAUAACUGCCGCACGGUGACGGUAAUGCGGGGUUACAGGUUGGCUAUAUCGGUCAAAUAAGUGCUUGAUUCUUACACGGCCGAGUUCCCAGCCAUUCUGCGCACGUGGGAGUUCUCAUUAGUGGGCUAAGGUCAGAUGAAAACACACAAGAAUACGCUCUGUGGGAACAGUAAACGUGCAUUCGUCGUCUUACAUUCUCUGGCUCGCUUCUUUUCUUUGGGAUCUGUGUCAAUAUUAUUCAACGGUGUGUGCCAUUGG